UGGGAUCUGUAGUUUAAACACGAGCUUCUCGCGUGAGUUACGUCCAUAAUAAAACUACAAUUCCCAUACGUAUCUGCCCUUCACAAACAACAUGGCAGCCUCCUGUGUUACAAAAAGACUCCGCUACAAAAUGCUAAAAAGAACAUUUUUAUUGUGUCCCAAUACGUCGUGUACGGUCCGUGGAUUUAACGUAGAAUCUUCGCGAUAUCACGACCAGUUGCAAAGCACAAAUAAAAGCGUUUCCACGCAGCUGGAGGGCGUGGUCGGCCUGGAGAUCCACGCCCAGAUUCAAGCCUGCACUAAAAUGUUCUCCGGCUCGGCCGUCCACUUCCUAUCGCCUCCAAACUCCCUCGUGUCUUUCUUCGACGCCUCUUUGCCCGGUACAUUACCUGUCCUGAACAGACGAUGCGUUGAGGCAGCUGUAAUGACGGGAUUGGCCCUCAACUGCCGAAUCAACGAGAAGUCGUUUUUUGACAGGAAGCACUACUUCUACGCUGAUCUCCCUGCAGGCUACCAGAUCACGCAGCACCGGCGGCCCGUGGCGGUGGGCGGGGUGCUGAGCUACAGCCUCCUGGCCGGCGAGAAAAGGAACCAGGUGCUCCGCAAAAAGGUCCGCAUUAAGCAGAUCCAGCUGGAGCAGGACAGCGGCAAGAGCCUGCACGACGACGCCCGCGGCCAGACGCUCGUCGACCUCAACAGAGCGGGUGUGGGCCUGAUGGAGCUGGUGAUGGAGCCCGACAUGACGUGCGGCGAGGAGGCGGCGGCGGCCAUCAGGGAACUUCAGCUCAUCUUGCAGGCUCUCCGUACCUGCAAAGGAAACAUGGCGGGGGUCGCCACCGUAUGCAGUAAAUGCAGAAUGCCCCGCCCCUCCAUUGCGGGGGUUACAUACCCUAAUCCUAGACAUGGAUACGAGGGCCAGCUGAGGGUGGACGCCAACGUGUCGGUGCACAGACCGGGCGAGCCGCUGGGCGUCAGGACGGAGGUGAAGAACAUCAACAGCGUUCGAUACCUGGCCAGGGCCAUCGACUACGAGAUCCAGCGACAGAGAGAUGUCCUGCGCCGAGGAGGCGGCGUGCACAACGAGACCCGCGCCUACGACUCCAAAUCCGGGACGACCGUGCCCAUGAGGGACAAAGAGGGUCUUCAGGACUACAGGUUCAUGCCCGAGCCCAACCUUCCCCCGCUGAUAGUCUACGAAGACCCUUCCCGCGUUCCCUCAGGCGCCGACAUCCGGCGGGCGGUGGUGGUGCAGAGUCUGCGGGCCGAGCUGCCCGAGCUGCCCGGCGUGAGGAGAGACCGGCUGGUGAAGACGUACGACAUCCGGCCCGAGCACGGCUUCACCCUGCUGAACGAGGAAGGCCUGGUGGAAUACUUUGAGAGUGUGCUGAAGGCCACCAGGCGGGAGCCCAGGAAGGUGAUUGGCUGGGUGACCAACGAGCUGCUGGCCCUCCUCAAACAACAAGAUUUGAACGUCAGCCAAAGCCGCAUCCCCCCCUCCUCCAUGGCCCAGCUGCUGGAGAUCCUGGAAGAAGGAAGAAUCUCCUCUUCAGUGGCCAAGCAGGUGUUCCGGGAGAUGUGGAGGUGUUCGGGUGCAAAGACGGCGGAUCAGAUCAUCCACGAGCAGGACUUGGGCCUCGUCAGUGACACGGCGCAGCUGCACGCCAUCUGCGCCAGGGUUCUGGACUCGCAUCCGCGCGAGGUGCAGGCCUUCCGGGCGGGCAACGAGAAAGUUCUGAACAAGCUGAUGGGUUCGGUUCAGAGGGAGACCAAAGGGCGGGCCGACCCGGUUGCGGUGCGGAAGAUUCUGCGGGACAAAAUUUCUGAAACUGUAUGAGUAUUGGCUUUGUGUAUAUGAUGUACAUUUUUACAUAAUGUAACUUGCUUUCACUAAACAUGUCACAAGAACCAAUUGACAAACUCUCACUGUGUACAUUUAUUUAUUUUCUUUAUUUAUAUUUCUAACUCACACGACUUUCCACAUUAACGUAAGUGAGAUUCAAAAUUUAAAGCACAAAUAAUGAUAAUAAUUUGCGACCUGUGCUGUUUUUAGAAUACGCCUAUCCCGCCUCCUGCCCGAAGAUAGCUGGGAUAGGCUCCAGCACUCCCAUGACCCUUGUGAGGAUAAGCAGCUCAGAUAAUGGACAGAUGCCGGGCUUGAUACUCCGCCGAAGUUUCAACAAAGCUCCCGAAACCCGAGCUAACAGGUCAGCCAGAGCAUGCCGAGGUGUACGUUGAAAAGCUACGAUCGUGGACGCAACAAUUAUAUUGAUGAUAAUUGACGACACCUUGUCGAAAUGACCUUUCCCAAAUUUUAUUGCACUGCCAUUUUUUGUCCUCAACAACAAAACAAGAAUAGCAACAAAACUUUAUUGCAACAUUCGUUCUCGCUACCAAACCAAAAUGAAUUGAACAUUUAAGAUAUCAUCUCAAAGACUGCAUCAGACGCUAUUGUCUUAUUUUCUCGAUUGAGUCGAGCCAUGGCCUAAAAAUGUUAAAAUCUGAAUUAAAUUGUCACAUUUCUGAAUCGUUCCAUUCGGAUUCCUUUCAAACAGGCACUAAAAUGUGAAUGCGGGUAGCGGACGAUGUUAAAGGGUAUUUUUGACCCGCUUUUGUGGAAACUUAAAGGAGACAGAUAUAAAAUUCACUUUUUAAAAGAUCGUAUAGAGCUCGUGCACCUACGUCGCCCAAAUCACGUCACUGGCCGGAAGUGUCGGUCAAACAAACUAUUCUUAAGGCUGAGUCGAUUGGAGAUGACGCAAAAAUACAUUUUAUAGCACGACGCCCAGAGUUUUGUCCGAUACCGUUAAACGUUUAGCGGGUGAUAAUAAACGAAGGUAUGUGGGGAAAAAUGAGGGACACUCGCCCUAGAGGAGCCAUAUUUAAUGCCAAAGUCGAUUUUUUUUUUUAAGAUAUUGGACUGUUAACCCGCUUCCGCUUGUCUAGGACAACUGGAUCUACACGUGGAUCUGCUGAGUAAGUCGUCCAGAUUUACACGGAAGACUUUGAAAGCGUAGUAAAGUCUGGGUGCAUACAAAUACUUUGUCGCUGGAUCUGUUCUCAAUCAAGAAAAACCCACAUAGCGAUGGAGCCACUCAGAUUUUUUUCAAUACAAACACUAAUAUUUAAAUAAAGGACCUCUGGUUUAACACAAAUUCGCUUCAUUAACUAUGAUUGGGGGAAAAAAAAAGACAACGGGUUGACGGCUCGUGGAUGCGGAAGCGUAUUGCUGCCACACAUUAAAUUUCGAUAAACCUCUAUGUGACAGCCUUUUUUUUUUUUUUAAAUAUGCACAGUUCUCAAAUGAGUCUCUGUUUUCAGUCCAAUGCGUAUUUAAAAAAAAGAAAAUAAACCGCUGGGAUAGGCUUCAGCCCCUGUACACGGAAGCGUGUUGCGGCCACAUGUUGAACUU